rnacentral:ncRNA from 1 species
GAUAUCUGGAUUGUGGUGGCCAAGUGUUCAUAGCUAUGUUUCUUUUUGAUCCUUGGAUGUCAGCCCUUCCUAUAAUUGUGAAGCAGAAUUCACCAACAUCGAGUUCUUGAAAGGAUGUGUUUUUCAG